CGCAGGACUCGCACGUAAGGGUGUCAGACAGUCCGGUGCGGAACGACUAUGCUUUCGCGAAGGCAACCCCUAUACAGAUGCGGCAUAACAAUGGUGCGUUGGAGCGGCGAAUUGUUGAUGGCAGUUGCACCUUUAACGGAGGAUCAUGUUCGUGUAGGCUACACUUCUGGGAACUAGGACACGACCAAUAACUCUGCGCGAAAGUCCGAGCCAGGAAACAAAGGUUCCUUGCUGCGUCGGUUCUUGAUAGUGCGAUCGGAACUACUCGCGAUCCUUCAUGGGCGGACUGGGCGGCCUCGCCAGCAAAGUCAUUACCACUGUACCGUCUUGGGCAUUGCGUCCUGUCAUAUCGUCGGGUCCUGGAGGCCCAGAGAAUGAAUGCCCGUAUUACCAGGCCUCACACACUCUCAAGUUCCAGUGAUCCCCACAGAGAGCGAAAGAUCUGCCGCUGCGCAUUCCAGAAUGAAGCGCCCACGCGGAAAGAACUCUGUCCCGACGAGCCUGCAGCAUGCAUUCACGACGCCGCACCGCCAGCCAGCGGUAGAGGACGCCGCGGCAUGCAUGCCAACCGGGCGAACAAAGCGCUACGUUUCCAGCGAAGCAAUAUCCGUUAACUUUCAGCUCGCCCACACAAAAUAAAGCAAGGCGAGCCUGCCUCCGGGACGUCGUCCGAAAUAACCCGUACCAAAACAGCGGUUGGAACAAAAGAAUGCCAUGGCCCACAUGGAUCAAACCAACGCACGACGCUCACCAAAUGUACACCCUAUGCAAGAAAAAAAAAGCACUACCAACAGGAAGCGGCCUUUGUCCAAGAGUUGUUGCUGAACUAUACAAGUGGUGUGGUGACGCGAACUGUCGUGUUAAGAAAAGCACGGAUACCAAUCAAAAGCCCACACAGGGGGCUGCAACUCAGAUUCUAAUUAAUUUAACGCUCUGUACCAUGCCUUCCAUAUUUUUCAUGCGUGCCUAAGGGUGCACUGGCUGAGCAAGCCUGCAUGGAGUUAUGUCGAAAAUACAGUUCGGAAAGAGACAACAAGGUUACGAGAAGGGUAGAACCCCAGCGAUGACAAAAGUUUGAGAGAAAUCACGCAACAUGGAUGCAACGUAUACAAUGUAUAUUCGAAUUACGUCACUGUACGUGAACUGUCGUCCUAGGCGGACGUAAUAUGCAAGAAAAGCCAGAACACAUUUGCUAAUAAAUUA